GGGCAGCAGUAAGGAAUAUUGGUCAAUGGACGCAAGUAUGAACCAACCCUUCGCGUGGAGGACGAAGGUCCUUUGGAUUGUAAACUUCUUUUAUCUGGGAAGAAACCCAUCCAUUCUAAAGUGUUUGACGGUACCAGAGGAAUAAGCACCGGCUAACUCCGUGCCAGCAGCCGCGGUAAUACGGAGGGUGCAAGCGUUAUCCGGAUUCACUGGGUUUAAAGGGUGCGUAGGUGGGCAGGUAAGUCAGUGGUGAAAUCUCCGGGCUUAACCCGGAAACUGCCAUUGAUACUAUCUGUCUUGAAUACCGUGGAGGUGAGCGGAAUAUGUCAUGUAGCGGUGAAAUGCUUAGAUAUGACAUAGAACACCAAUUGCGAAGGCAGCUCACUACCCGAAUAUUGACACUGAGGCACGAAAGCGUGGGGAUCAAACAGGAUUAGAUACCCUGGUAGUCCACGCCCUAAACGAUGGAUACUCGACAUACGCGAUACACAGUGUGUGUCUGAGCGAAAGCAUUAA
rnacentral:rRNA from 1 species